rnacentral:rRNA from 1 species
GACAGAGGGUGCAAACGUUGUUCGGAAUUACUGGGCGUAAAGCGCGCGUAGGCGGCUUUGUAAGUUAGAGGUGAAAGCCCGGAGCUCAACUCCGGAACUGCCUUUAAGACUGCAUCGCUUGAAUCCAGGAGAGGUGAGUGGAAUUCCGAGUGUAGAGGUGAAAUUCGUAGAUAUUGGGAAGAACACCGGUGGCGAAGGCGGCGCUCUGGACCGAGACUGACGCUGAGGCGCGAAAGCGUGGGGAGCAAACAGG